GACGAACGCUGGCGGCGUGCUCAACACAUGCAAGUCGAGCGAGGCCCUCCCUUCGGAGGGGUGCCCUAGCGGCGAACGGGUGAGUAACACGUGGGCAACCUGCCCCUAGCACUGGGAUAAGCCCGGGAAACCGGGUCUAAUACCGGAUACGACCUCCGAGGGCAUCCUUGGUGGUGGAAAGGAUUCUGGCUAGGGAUGGGCCCGCGGCCUAUCAGCUUGUUGGGGGGGUGACGGCCUACCAAGGCAACGACGGGUAGCCGGCCUGAGAGGGCGACCGGCCACACUGGGACUGAGACACGGCCCAGACUCCUACGGGAGGCAGCAGUGGGGAAUAUUGCACAAUGGGCGAAAGCCUGAUGCAGCGACGCCGCGUGGGGGAUGACGGCCUUCGGGUUGUAAACCUCUUUCAGCUCCGACGAAGCGAAAGUGACGGUAGGAGCAGAAGAAGCACCAGCCAACUAUGUGCCAGCAGCCGCGGUAACAC
rnacentral:rRNA from 1 species